rnacentral:lncRNA from 1 species
CCAAACAAAUAUAUACAAAAUAUAAAAAUAAGAAUAAAACAACUUUUAUUUCAUUUCAUUAUACAACAGAGUUCUGUACAUGCCAAUAGGUUUUGAAGUGCUGCCCGACAUGGGGAAAUCUAGAGAAGUUUGAUACUUGGGAUGUUUGAUAUAAGCAAGAGGCAGGUUGUCCAAGACAUCAUUGGUCGUGAGACAUUUGCAUAGAUUCAGAAACCAACAGUUUCGUUACCAAGGGAUCACUAAUAAUCCAGCAACAUAAAAUCUACUAGCACUAAUCGAGGUAAAUGUUUUAAAACAAAAGCAAUGUUCAUAUGCAGGUUAGUGGUGAUGCUUAUACUUUGAGCCUUUGGACACCUCCUUCCAUGCUUCCCGGUCCGCGCAUUUCCUCAUCUUGGUUGGGUCAUACACAAAGAAUAGAGCAUUCGCAUUAUGUUUACAAUUCUUCCGGUGCGCCUAGUUUUUUAGCAACCAAUAACAAAGGCUCCUAACCUUGAUAACGUCAUUAAACUGCCAAAGAGGAAGAAGCAAAGUGAGUACCAUAAGAGUGGGUAAUUUCAACAAAGGAAAAGAAUUCGGUGAAGAAGUUAGACACUUAUCCCACAUCACUAUACGCAUGACCAUAAAUCUUCAGCCUUAUGUUCAUUACAGACUAAAUCCUGGCCAUGUUACUGCAGCAUUAAGACCAACCUCUAUGAAUGCAAACAGUAAAAUGAAUUCAGAAAACAUAAGAGAUUGUGUUAAAAUAAAGUUGCAUAGUCUCAAAUGUCAUAAAUAAAUAAAGCAAAUCAUAAUCAGAUCAAUCACGUAAUGAAUUCAGAAGGGAAGAAGAGUCAUUUGUAGGUUACAAACUAAUGCAAGAAGUAACAGUCAACUAGAAUUCAUCACAUAUUCCCUUGAUUUACUACACAUUAUUUUCGAGCAGUUAGGAAAUUAAGGGGCAUGUAAUCAGACAGAUUUGUUGGAGCAGGGUAUCAGGGAUAAUUAAGCAAAUGCAAACCAGAAGGCAUGUUGAUUUCAGUUACAUAAUCAGCCUAAUUGCAGCAGUAAAGAGCAGUCAUAGAGCAGAGUUCUUAUAAGUUACUGGAUCAAAAUGGGCAGCCCAGGGGUCUACCUUCAAACAGUAUAAAAGGGGGAUACAUAUAUCAUAUACAGGGGAGAGGAGAGAAGACACUUGAGACAAGGCAGCUAUAUUUAUACAUAACCUGUCACAACUCAGCAAAAGGAGAGAGGCCUAAAAGAGCAAGCGGAGAAAGCAUACUACCAUCCAUAGCACAUCCAUAACACACGGCACAUUCAAGAGGGCAUCAAGAGUUUGCGUAUCUUACACAACAUACAGAGAACAAAGAUAGAGAAAAGAGAACAUCUUGGAACGAAGAUUCAACACGCAGAAGGAUAAGGGAACAAAGCAUAAUCAGGUAAGUCACCCAUCCUAUUUAUUCAAGUGCUAGUAAACAUAAAUGAACCUUACUCAUUGCGAACCACGUAUCCUUAUGCUCAUAUCACUAACAUAAGUCGAGGGUUUACUCCCUAAUGAUUUUUUUAUAUAUUCAAAUAACAUAAUGAGCAUAGUUAUGAUAGUUCUAAUAUGAAGAAAAUCAUGAUUUUUUACUAGUGCAAUACUAACACAGCAGCCAUAACAAGUCUGGAACUAAAUAGUAUACCCCUUUUGAGUUUAACGUGUUCUGUACACAUCUAAUUAAAAAUCAUACAAAUAAAACGCAUAUUUUUCAUUCAUUUGGCUUCAACAGAGACGUGCAUAUCAAUAUGAAGUAUACGAUGCAGCGAUAUAAUAUUAAGACAUAGGGUUCAUUUCUGGAUAAUCUUUAGCCUAAAUCGG